UCCGGACCAGAGUUUAAAAAACAAAAUGUAUUUUUAAAACCUUAAUUAUUUUUUUUAUUUAUUACAUAAAAUUAAUAUUCAAAAUUAAUUUUUUCUGUUCGAAUAAAUGACAUUUAAAUUUUUUGCGGUAAUAUUUACUGAGUAUGAAAAGUAAUUAAUUUUUUAGUUAAAUUUUUUUUUGAAAUCAAGAUUUUGUUUGAAUAAAAAAUUGUAAAAAUUGAUAGUUGGCAAGACUUGACCAGGGAGAUGAGUGGGAGAAAGGUCGUGCAGCUGGUGAUACGAGUGCGGCUGCACCCAAACUAACCGUGUGCCGGGGAGAAAUACAGAGACAAGAUAUGACGAGAGAAAAAAAAAUUUCAGAGUCCGGAACGCGGGAUCAUCCAGCUUCGCCUUUACAGGAUAGAAUACAAAACAAAAUUUUUUUUUUUUCUUCUUCUUAUUCUUUUGAGUGAAUUGACGAAGAGGUUGACGACGCACCGCCAUUUUAAAAUUCUCCAUUAGUGUUCUGAAACAAAAAAAAUAAAUAUAAUGUAAAUAAAAAAAAAAAAAAAAAAUUAAUAUAUAUAAUGUAAAUAAAAAAAAAUGAUAAUGUAAAUAAAAAAAAAAAAUAAUAAUGUAAAUAAAAAAAAAAAUAAUAAUGUAAAUAAAAAAAAAAAUUGAAUCCUACUGGAUCAUGGCAAUAAUCAAUCCUACUGGAUCAUGGCAAUAAUCAAUCCUACUGGAUCAUGGCAAUAAUCAAUCCUACUGGAUCAUGGCAAUAAUCAAUCCUACUGGAUCAUGGCAAUAAUCUAUCCUAUUGGAUAUGGCAAUAAUUGAUCCUAUUGGAUCAUAGCAAUAUCUAUCCUACUGGAUCAUGGCAAUAUUCGGGGGGA